UAUUUUCGACACAUGCUAUCACGACUAGUAAGGUUCAAUUUAUCAUUUAAUUGUUACAUUUAUUCACACUUCAGUCUUAGAUUCCGAAAGAAAACUAUGAAACAUUUCCACUGAACAGUUAUUUUUCAAAUUAUAUAUUCGGGAUUUUAUCCAGUGCUUAUUUAUAAAUUAUCUUUCAUUUUUUUGCAAUCCCAUCUGAAGUUUGAAAAAAUCUAUAGAUUAUGUGUAUUUAACAAAACAAUUAAUCAACAUUAAAAUCCCUGCUUUGAUUACAGGGUAAACAACCCAAUAAUAUGCAAAAUAAAAACUUUGAUAAGAUUUCCUAACCACUUUGUUCACUAUGUACAAUUGCAAUAUUAUCCGUUCAAGCGUGUCAACCUGCUUUUAGGUAUCACUUUAAUUACUUAAUUUUCACGGAUGAAUUAUGCAUUAUGAUUUAUGUGUUAUAUGAGGAGUUGUCGAAUUAAAAUUAUGCUAUAAUCAAUUUAUACCGACUGCGUAAAACGUCACCUAUUAUUUUGGCUAUUAUCAGAGCUUACGCAUUUUUGACAGAAAAAGUUACAGCUAGGCCAAUAAUUAUACAUGCCGAACACAAGUAUCUAAAAAAUUGUUUGUUUUACGAAGCAAUAGUGUUUUUUUUUUUAUCGUUAUCCUCGCAUGCAACAAAAAAGUUGUUUGGAAUUGAAUGUAGAAUUACGCUAUCUAUGGAAUUUUUACGUUGAUAAUGUGUAAACUCUAACUAUUAAUUCAAAAUAUGUGAUCCCGUCUACAACUCUUAUCGAGCCAAUGAAUAAAAAGUACGGGAAAGAGCAUGAGUUACAAAUUUCGUGAUAGGGGUGGAGUCGUAUACAUCAUACAUUGAUCAAAGAUGGCGGUUAUGUGACGUCAUUUUAUGCACAUGUGGGCUGUUUCUAAUCGUAUGUCAACAGAACACACGUACCGGGAAAAUACAUGAAAAUGUCUGAAGGGCAGUUAAAAAUAGAGCAGAUCCGUCUGCAUUUAGGCAAUUCAGAGCACAUUCUACCGAUCGACACUUUUGUUUCACAUCGAAUUAUCAGAGAAAGUGAGGAAUUUGGCCA